rnacentral:rRNA from 1 species
CCUACGGGUGGCAGCAGUGGGGAAUAUUGGGCAAUGGGCGCAAGCCUGACCCAGCAACGCCGCGUGAAGGAAGAAGGCUUUCGGGUUGUAAACCUCUUUUUUCAGGGACGAAGCAAGUGACGGUACCUGACGAAUAAGCCACGGCUAACUACGGGCCACCAGCCGCUGUAAUACGUAGGUGGCAAUCGUUAUCCGGAUUUACUGGGUGUAAAGGGCGUGUAGGCGGGAAUGCAAGUCAGAUGUGAAAACCACGGGGUCAACUUGUGGCCUGCAUUUGAAACUGUAGUUCGUGAGUACUGGAGAGGCAUACGGAAUGCGUAGUGUAGCGGUGAAAUGCGUAGAUAUUAGGAGGAACACCAGUGGCGAAGGCGGUAUACUGGAGGGCAACUGACGCUGAGGCGCGAAAGCGUGGGGAGCAAACAGGAUUAGAUACCCGGGUAGUC